GGUGUAGUGGUAUCAUAGUACCCUCCCACGGUACUGCCCGGGGUUCAAUUCCCCG
rnacentral:tRNA from 1 species